rnacentral:rRNA from 1 species
ACGGGUGAGUAAUACAUCGGAACGCGCCCUGUAGUGGGGGAUAACUAGUCGAAAGAUUAGCUAAUACCGCAUACGACCUGAGGGUGAAAGUGGGGGACCGCAAGGCCUCAUGCUAUAGGAGCGGCCGAUGUCUGAUUAGCUAGUUGGUGGGGUAAAGGCCCACCAAGGCGACGAUCAGUAGCUGGUCUGAGAGGACGAUCAGCCACACUGGGACUGAGACACGGCCCAGACUCCUACGGGAGGCAGCAGUGGGGAAUUUUGGACAAUGGGGGCAACCCUGAUCCAGCAAUGCCGCGUGUGUGAAGAAGGCCUUCGGGUUGUAAAGCACUUUUGUCCGGAAAGAAAUCGCACUUACUAAUAUUAGGUGUGGAUGACGGUACCGGAAGAAUAAGGACCGGCUAACUACGUGCCAGCAGCCGCGGUAAUACGUAGGGUCCAAGCGUUAAUCGGAAUUACUGGGCGUAAAGCGUGCGCAGGCGGUUGUGCAAGACCGAUGUGAAAUCCCCGGGCUUAACCUGGGAAUUGCAUUGGUGACUGCACGGCUAGAGUGUGUCAGAGGGGGGUAGAAUUCCACGU